GUCCCGAUGGCGAAAUGGCAAACGCUCAGCGUUGAGAACGCUGUCCUUCGGGUUGCAGGUUCAAGUCCUGCUCGGGACACCA
rnacentral:tRNA from 1 species